AUUUGGCGCAGUGUUUAGUACGUCUGUCUGCGACGCAAAAGAUUCCGGGUUCAAUUCCCGGUGAAUA